AGCAUAUCAAUAAGCGGAGGAAAAGAAACCAACAGGGAUUGCCUCAGUAACGGCGAGUGAAGCGGCAACAGCUCAAAUUUGAAAUCUGGCGCCUUCGGCGUCCGAGUUGUAAUUUGUAGAGGAUGUUUCGGCGAGGGCUCCCGUCUAAGUCCCUUGGAACAGGGCGUCGCAGAGGGUGAGAAUCCCGUAUGUGAUGGGUUGCUCGAGCCAUGUGAAACUCCUUCGACGAGUCGAGUUGUUUGGGAAUGCAGCUCUAAAUGGGAGGUAAAUUUCUUCUAAAGCUAAAUACCGGCCAGAGACCGAUAGCGCACAAGUAGAGUGAUCGAAAGAUGAAAAGCACUUUGGAAAGAGAGUUAAAAAGUACGUGAAAUUGUUGAAAGGGAAGCGCUUGCAACCAGACUCGCGCGCAGUUGCUCAGCCGGUCUCCUGACCGGUGUACUCUUCUGCGUCCGGGCCAGCAUCAGUUCGGGCGGUCGGAUAAAGGCCUCGGGAAUGUGGCUCCCCUCGGGGAGUGUUAUAGCCCGGGGUGCAAUGCGGCCAGCCUGGACUGAGGAACUCGCUUCGGCUAGGAUGCUGGCGUAAUGGUUGUAAGCGGCCCGUCUUGAAACACGGACCAAGGAGUCUAACAUCUAUGCGAGUGUUUGGGUGUCAAACCCAUGCGCGUAAUGAAAGUGAACGGAGGUGGGAACCCUCACGGGUGCACCAUCGACCGAUCCUGAUGUCUUCGGAUGGAUUUGAGUAAGAGCAUAGCUGUUGGGACCCGAAAGAUGGUGAACUAUGCCUGAAUAGGGUGAAGCCAGAGGAAACUCUGGUGGAGGCUCGCAGCGGUUCUGACGUGCAAAUCGAUCGUCAAAUUUGGGUAUAGGGGCGAAAGACUAAUCGAACCAUC
rnacentral:rRNA from 2 species